CUGUAUAUGAAAUAUAAUGGCGGAAGUAGAUGCGAAGCUGCUGCUCGGGUACCAUCAGCCUUCUGACUCUCUGCAUCAAACUCAACUCUAACACUUCACCAUGGUGACAGACGUACAGCUGGCUAUUUUCGCCAACAUGCUGGGAGUGUCGCUGUUCCUCCUGGUGGUGCUCUAUCACUACGUGGCGGUCAACAACCCCAAGAAGCUUGAAUGAUCAUAACAUUUAGAUAAAUCAAAAGAUGAAUGAUGCGACUGGGGACCACCGGAUAAAACAGACGAUGACGCAGCCUGUACAAAUCUUUUCUAUGAAAAUGUUAAUAAAUUUGUAAAGACC